UACGUAUGUUCCAAGCGUUAUCCGGAUUUAUUGGGCGUAAAGCGAGCGCAGACGGUUUUUUAAGUCCGAAGUGAAAGCCCACAGCUUAACUGUGGAAGUGCUUUGGAAACUGGAUGACUUGAGUGCAGUAGAGGAGAGUGGAAUUCCAUGUGUAGCGGUGAAAUGCGUAGAUAUAUGGAGGAACACCAGUGGCGAAGGCGGCUCUCUGGACUGUAACUGACGUUGAGGCUCGAAAGUGUGGGUAGCAAACAGG
rnacentral:rRNA from 1 species